rnacentral:rRNA from 1 species
UAUACAAUGUAGAGUUUGAUCCUGGCUCAGGAUGAACGCUAGCUACAGGCUUAACACAUGCAAGUCGUGGGGCAGCGGAUGCUUAGCUUGCUAAGUAUGCCGGCGACCGGCGCACGGGUGAGUAACGCGUACCGAACCUGCCCAUCACACAGGGAUAGGCUUGCGAAAGCAAGAUUAAUACCUGAUGGUCUCAGUUGUAUGCAUGUAUGAUUGAGUAAAGCCUUCGGGCGGUGAUGGAUGGCGGUGCGUCCCAUUAGGAAGUUGGCGGGGUAACGGCCCACCAAUCCUUCGAUGGGUAGGGGU